rnacentral:lncRNA from 1 species
CUUUUCCCCUUGCUCCUCCAGCAGCACAAUGUGAUCCACUGGCAAGGAGGGAUGCCAAUAAGGUGUCCAAUAAGACUUUUUUGAUGAUUCAGUCUACAUGAAAGCACAGACCAGAAGGCAAAAACAUCCAACACAUCCUCCAGGAAAAAAGAAGGUACAAGAACAAAUUCAUGGCAGUUUCAUCUAUUUUCCUACUCUGGACCAGUUAUGAGUCAGAAAUCAUCAAUAGAAAUGCGCAAUCCCCACCACAGUGAAAAUGGGCACAGCAGUCACUCCUCAUCUGUUAUAUGUGCUAAUCCUGUUAAAACAUGCAAUACUAUUUACUACUUCAAAUAAAAUCAUCAGAGCAUGUGUUCAAGUUGUUUCCAGAUUCUGACCAUUAUAAAUGAAGCUGCCAUGAACGAACCUGAGCAGUGAGGCGAUAUCUUGUUUGUACUCUAAGCUUGCCUGAAGAUCAGAAGGUGGAGCUAGCCACUAGUUCCAUAGUGGUUGGAAGUCUGCAGAUAGACAGCAAGUGAUAUGACUGGGCAGAGAGGGGACUAUAAGACAGGAGAAGCUACAGUCACAUUCUUUUUGACUGAAAAGGUGGUGAGGUCAAUGUCCCUGAACAAGCAUAUCUUCAUGUAUACUCCAGGAAGAAACAAUCACAGGGAGCUUGGUAUCUAAUUAGAAACGAUGCUGAGUGGCCCACAUUACUUUGGUCAACAAUGGAUCCUUUCUUUUAUUUUGCAUCUUAAACUAUGACUGAAAAACUCCUCUUUUGACUAAACUGAGGACACAUAGACUGAAAACUCCUAACAUAAAAUAUGCUUUUCAAUAAGUGUUUUUAAAUAUAUGACACCUGCCUUACUGUGUGUUGCUUAUUUAUUUAACUUGAUGCCCAACCACUACUAGCUAUUUCAUUCAUAUGCUACAGAAGAAAUGAUUUCUUUUUUCUAUGUUCCAAACACCAGAUAUUGGGAAAUUGGAAAGGUAGAUAAGAGAGAAGUUAAACCCAUUUGCUCCAUUAUAGCCUUUUAAGAAUUUCUAGGUUAGGUGAAAUAAUGAUAUCCGAACAAAGUCAACUACAUUCUUUAGAGUGAGGUACCAGAGCUGAGAGUCUUCAUAAAAGUGCCAUAGCUUGGCAGCACUUUUAGGCACAGAGGACACUGGGAAGAAGAAGGAUGGAGUCAGAGACAUGGAGGAAGACAGAGAGAUGGAGGAAGCCAAACAUGCAGAAGAGAUAAAAGCCAUGAGCCAUACAACAUCACAUAGAUUAAUAUAAAUGUGCAAAUUCAAGUUAUAAUAGCUAUUUAGAAAGAAGCCUGAACUAUUGGCCAAGUUUUCAUAAUUAAUAAGAAGUCUCCUUGUUGUGAUUUGGGAGCUGGCUGCCAGUACAGAGACUCAUAACAUAUUAUGAAUGAAAUUUUCAUGAACAAAAGUAUACAUUUGAGUGGCUAUAUAUUUAAAAAUAUUAUCUUUCUAAAGAAACUAGUAAAAAAAAUGAAAAGCUGUUUGGUAAGAAAGGCAGAGGAACAAGGGAUUUGCCAUGAAAUUUUGUCUUCUAGAAAUGCCAUAGCUACACUCAAAAGUCUCACCACCAUGAUUCCUUAAUCAUGACCUGAACAAGGAAAACAACAAAGUGGAUUGGGAGUACAAUGGAAAAGAGAACAUGAGGAGGACUCAACUCUAAAGAAAGAAUUAUAGGCAACUAAGGAAUGCUGAGAGUGGGAGAAAUAGACUUCCUCAGGAAAGAGCACUAGUUGAUUAGCUAAUGGUCUACCCUGAAAACAUACACCAGAGUAACAAUAUGCAUUAUGAGUAGUGGGAUAGUCAACAGUCUUGUAUCACAAAUGAUUUCAAUGAAGUUGCUUUUGCUGGUUAUCUCCAUUUAGGAUAACACUGGCUCUGGGUUUCUCCGAUAUAAGUUUUGUUAUAUUGAGGUGCACUCCCUCUCAUCCUAUUUUCUCUAGGAUGUUUUGUUAUCAUUUCCAGCUUUGCCAGGAUCCCAAGGCUACACAUUCAGCCAUCAGCAUUCAGGCAAAAUGUCUAGUCACCCCAGGGCCUUAUGUAAUCUAUACCCAUGUGUGGAGCGCCCAUGUCCUUGCUCUGAGCAACCUUGAAAAGCAGACACACCUACCUCACUCCCUCUCUCACCAUGUUUCUUCGAGACAGGCCUGCAUACACACCCUCUUCCCCUUUACUACUAAAACUCUUAAAGUGGGUUUUGUUGUAUAUCUCGUGGCUGUUCUAGAGCACUGUAAAUAAUACUUUUAUUGUGAAGACAUGUUUAAUUUGGUCAAAGGACUUUUCUGCAUCUAUUGGAAUGAUCAUGAG